UUGAAACAAAAAUGGGAACUGAAGAUUCUACUCGUCCGUACUUUCCUACAAGACCUUCUGCAACUCCUUUUGCCUCUGCUCCUCCGCCAAGGACGCCAUUUUCAUCUUAUGGCCCCAUGGUUGGAUCGGAUGCUACUGGUUUUAGACCUGCACCACCAGCUGCUCCUCAAACUGCAAUGUCUUUUGUUCCGGCAGCUCCAGUUGGACCUGUGUCCUCUGGUUUUAGACCUGCCCCACCUGCCAGGUUCAAUGAUCCGUCUGUGCCUUCUCCUCCAACAAUAUAUGCACCACCUGCUGCUGGUACUUUUCAACAUUUUCCAACACCACAAUUUCCAUCAACAGCUCAAGCGCCUCCAAUACGUGGACCACCUGUUGGUCCACCAUCAAUUCAAUCUUCUGCAAGUCAACUGUCAGCUCCGCAUGUUUCUUUCCAUCCACA
rnacentral:lncRNA from 1 species